rnacentral:rRNA from 1 species
AUAGGGUAUCGCUUAGUGACGGCGAGUGAAGCGGCAACAGCUCAAAUUUGAAAUCUGGCUCUUUUAGGGUCCGAGUUGUAAUUUGUAGAGGGUGCUUUGGCGUUGGCAGCAGUCUAAGUUCCUUGGAACAGGACGUCACAGAGGGUGAGAAUCCCGUACGUGGCUGCAUGUCUUCGCCGUGUAAAGCCCCUUCGACGAGUCGAGUUGUUUGGGAAUGCAGCUCUAAAUGGGAGGUAAAUUUCUUCUAAAGCUAAAUAUUGGCCAGAGACCGAUAGCGCACAAGUAGAGUGAUCGAAAGAUGAAAAGCACUUUGGAAAGAGAGUCAAAAAGCACGUGAAAUUGUUGAAAGGGAAGCGCUUGCAGCCAGACUUGCCUGUAGUUGCUCACCCGGGCUCUUGCCUGGGGCACUCUUCUACGGGUAGGCCAGCAUCAGUUUGGGCGGCUGGAGAAAGGCCUCUGUCACGUAUCUCCCUCCGGGGUGACCUUAUAGGGGAGGCGUAAUGCAGCCAGCUCAGACUGAGGUCCGCGCAUCUGCUAGGAUGCUGGCGUAAUGGCUGUAAGCGGCCCGUCUUGAAACACGGACCAAGGAGUCUAACAUCUAUGCGAGUGUUUGGGUGUCAAGCCCGAGCGCGUAAUGAAAGUGAACGGAGGUGGGAACCCUUCGGGGCGCACCAUCGACCGAUCCUGAUGUCUUCGGAUGGAUUUGAGUAAGAGCAUAGCUGUUGGGACCCGAAAGAUGGUGAACUAUGCUUGAAUAGGGUGAAGCCAGAGGAAACUCUGGUGGGAAGCUCGCAGCGGUUCUGACGGUGCAAAUCGAUCGUCAAAUUUGGGCAUAGGGGUCGAAAGACUAAUCGAACCUAUCUAGUAGCCUGCGCUCCUGCUCGAAGC